UACGUAGGGUGCGAGCGUUGUCCGGAAUUACUGGGCGUAAAGAGCUCGUAGGUGGUUUGUCGCGUUGUUCGUGAAAACUCACAGCUCAACUGUGGGCGUGCGGGCGAUACGGGCAGACUAGAGUACUGCAGGGGAGACUGGAAUUCCUGGUGUAGCGGUGGAAUGCGCAGAUAUCAGGAGGAACACCGGUGGCGAAGGCGGGUCUCUGGGCAGUAACUGACGCUGAGGAGCGAAAGUGUGGGGAGCGAACAGG
rnacentral:rRNA from 1 species